CAGGUCGGUCGGGCGAUCGCGGCUGUCGGUUCACGGCAGUCGAGGAAAGUCCGCACUCCACAGGGCACGGCGCCGGGUAACGCCCGGGGGGCCGUAAGGUUCCGGACAGGGCCACAGAAACAUACCGCCCGAAAAGGGUAAGGGUGAAAAGGUGGUGUAAGAGACCACCGGCGCGGCAGUAAUGUCGCGGCCAGGCAACCCCCGCCGGGAGCAAGGCCAAGCAGAGGCCGUCUCUCUUCGGAGAGUAAGGACUGCCCGUCCAAGGGUCUCGGGUGGGCUGCAUGAGCGGAUGGGUAACCGUCCGCCUAGAGAGAUGAUCGCCGCCCCCUUUGAUGGGGGUACAGAAUGCGGCUUACAGACCGGCCUGAGUU
rfam:Anaerolinea thermophila TNI-1 DNA, complete genome.